rnacentral:lncRNA from 15 species
CUGGUCUUGGGCUCUGGUUGUGACAGUAAAACAUCCACUUCAGUCACUGUCAGUGAGACGUUUGUCCAUUUGUCCCUCAGAACGUCCUGUAGUUUAUCUCUGAGCUCUGACACAGCCGCUGUCACAUCCUCAAAGUACCUCAGAGGACGGAUAUUGAUGCUGGAUGUAGAUUCACUGAGUGCUGACAGUGAGGGGUAGUUGUGUAGAAACUGGGUGUGGUCCUCUGUGUGUGACAGCUUCUUCAUCUCAGCGUCUUUCCUCUUCAGCUCAGUGAUCUCCUGCUCCAGCUUCUCCUGAAGCUCUUUGACUCGACUCACUUCAGUUUCCUGCUGGGAUCUGACCUGCUGCUUCACAUCAGAGCUUCUUUUCUCCAUGAGACGGAUCAGCUGAGUGAAGAUCUUCUCACUGUCCUCCACUGCUUUAUCAGCAGAGCGAUUGAUAGCCUCCACCUCCGUUGAAGCUCCUUCACAUCUUUCUCUCUGUCCUGGAUUCUCUGCUGGAUGUUUUGUCGACUCACCUCGAGCUCUCUCUGCCUCUCAGUCCUUUCUGCUGCAGCUGAGACUGUGUCGUGGCCUUUAUGUUCAUCCAUGGAGCACAAAAUACAUAUAGUCUGCUGAUCAGUGCGGCAGAAGAUCUUCAUCACCUCAUCAUGACGAGAGCAGAUGUUCUCCUGGAGCUUCUUGGAGGGGUCCACCAGCUUGUGUUUCUUAAACUGAGCCACAUCAUAAUGAGGCUGGAGGUGUUUCUCACAGUAAGAAACCAGACAGACCAGACAGGACUUGAGGGCUUUCAGUUUUCUCCCAGUGCAUCUUCUCAUCCUCUUCAUCCCAGUAGCUUUUAAUACAGUUCAUGCAGUAGCUGUGUCCACAGGGAGUAGUCACCGGAUCCUUCAGUAGAUCCAGACAGAUGGAACAAGAGAAGGUUUCUCGGUCCAGCUGAACUCCUUUCUGCGCCAUUUCACCUCUCAGUGACAACGACUGUCUGAGUUUCACUUCCUUAUAAAUGAGGCCGGGUUGAGCUCUGAUCUCAACAACAUGUGUCUCUGCAGUGAAUGGGGCCUGUCAGCUCUUGCUCAUGUUGGUUACACCCAUCUACAAACUGUAGAUCUGAAGGGGAGGGAACAAGGAAAUACAUGAACAGAGUGUAGCUCGCUGUGUUUGAAUCAGGAAGAAGAGGGAGGGGUUAUCGAGGGUUUAAAGUUCUGUUUUAUUGUCAUUAUACAACACAGGAUUGCACAAUAACAUGCAGUUGUAGUCCUCUCCACUCAUGUCAAAUUCAAAUGGAUAAAAACUGACUGGAAAGGAGUAAAAGAUUCACUGUGUCUAAUGUAGGGGUUACACUACUAUUUAAUUAGAAAGGUAAUUAAUCACUGGUGAUUAAUAAUACACUCGUAAAUGGGGCACCACCUCCGUUGUUUAGUUACUGGAAUAAUUGGAGGACAUUAUUCCACAGAUCUAAUCAAAUCAAUUUCAAAUUAAUUUAUUAAAUUUCAAAAUCUAUAUUUAAUCUCAUGUUUCUGAAGUAGUGAUUUCUUUUACACGAUUCAUCGAUUUCCCCGCAUCAAAUCAAACCUGCACCGACAAGGACAUACAGUUAUAUAUGUUUAUUAACUAAACUAAUGCAGAGUAAAUAGCAUGAAGUGACAAACAAACAAAUGACAACAAGUAACAGAAUAUGUGGACAAUAUAUGAAUUAUUACUAUUAGGUGAUUCAGGAGCGAUGGUGGAUUUUGCGAUGCGGCAGUAAGUUUAAAAUAUUACAAGAGUAAAUUUUAGAACUGAGAGGCCCUAAUCCAAAAUUCUCUUAAACGUAAAAGAUGGGAAUCAAAGCUUAUAGACAGACACCAGCUCUUUUUCAUGUGUGUGAAUCCGGCCGUGUACCGGAGAGUCAGCCUGCUUUGUUUGUAGAUGGAACUUGGAAGGAUUCCAGGUCCUUGGCUUUUAACUCAACUGCGGCUUUGCGUCACUGAUCCAACAGGCCGAAGGGAGUUGUAGUCCCUGGUUCCAGUGGCAAUCUUUCCAAAAGGCCCAGCGCGGCGUGUGCUCUAGUGAGCGUUGGGGGCAAGGUCGCUGGAGAAUAAUGUCUUUGUUCGGCUGGAAACAUUUAUACGUCUUCUUGAGCAGUCAACUACUGCGACGUCCUUCUGGCUGAUGAGGAAUGUCUUAGAGUGGUUGGUCUUCAGUUUUGACUGUAAACUAAUUCAGCUUCUUGUUUAAAAAUAACUGGAGGAUGAAUCAACUGGCCUGGAGAAUUCUCCAAGAAAGUCCAAGAAUUAGAUUAAAUUCACUUUCUGUGAAAAGGCGACAAUACUUGACGAUAUAUAUAUAAUAUAUUAUAUAUCUUAUAUAUAAGACUACAAAAAUAUAAAAGAAGAAAUUCGUUUGUGUCUUGAGCUUUCAAAAUAAAAGUACUUAGGAAAGUACUUCAGCACAGCAAUUUAUUACUUGAGGAAAAAUUCAACACGUGUCGCAAACGGAGUAAAAUAAAGUACGGAAAUUGAAUUAAAGUAAGAGCGAGAAUAAAUAACGAGUGGAUACAAGAGAGAGAAGAAAAACGAAAGAGAAGAGAAGAGUGACCAGAGUCUAUCUCUUAUAGCUUUUAUUCUGG